AGACCAAAAGGAAGGGAUUGCU
rnacentral:miRNA from 1 species